AACCUUCCGAGUAGCUGGGACUACAGGCGUCCGCCACCACACCUGGCUAAUUUUUAUGUAUUUUUAGUGGAGACGGGGUUUCACUGUGUUAGCCAGGGUGGUCUGGAUCUCCUAACCUCGUCAUCUGCCUGCCUUGGCCUCCCAAAGUACUGGGAUUACAGAAAGAGCCAGAUGGGAACAGGAGUGAGAAAGGUAGAAGAUGAAUGAUUAAGGAUGAAAACUCCCUCAAGAGAUUUUAUUUGACCAACAUCAAUUCAGUGAAAGCUGUGAUUAAGAGGUUUCACAUGAAUGGAGCUGGAAGCCAUUAUCCUCAGCAAACUAACACAGGAACAGAAAACCAAACAGCGCAUGUUCUCACUUACAAGUGGGAGCUGAACAAUAACACAUGGACACAGGGAGGGGAAAAGCAC
rnacentral:lncRNA from 1 species